UGCAGUGACUGCUCCUGCAGGAGGAGCACGUCGAGCCCUCCCUGACAACUGGUGCACAGCUUGUUCCCAAAGGGAUCUUUGAAACUGGGGCUGGAAAGUUCAGCGAUGUGCACAGUCACAAAAGGACUUUCCAGCCGCAGAGGCGCCACUUGAGCACACUACUGCCUACACACAGGGAAUAUACAGCUGGCUUCUCCAUAGGCACCCUGCCUCUGUGAGAAGUUCAGAAACACAAAUAGGAGAAUUUUAAAUCAGAGCUUCACUGAAGGAACCAGGCUGGAUACCAAGCGUUGGAUAUAAGGGCACAACUUGUUCCAGAAGAAAGGGUAAGAAUUAGGAUUCCCAACAACAUCCUCAAAGGCAGAACUUCAGCUCGGGAUUUAUGGCUGUACGUUCCCCAUCAUCUCCCAGUGAGCUUCAGUGAAGCCCUGGUGAUGACACACCGCAGUGCUAUCUGCCCAAUGAGACUCUGCAGCACUUGUUAAAAUUCAAAUGUUUACAUUGCGUUCUCUGAACACUUGGAUGAUGGGAUGGAUUUGGCCCUUAAGGAAAUGUUGGUCAGAACUGAAGUCCUGAGCUGUUUUUUGUCCUGUCCUUCUGUGAUCCAAAGGACACCAAUUUCAGUCUGCACAGCACACCCACCAUAAUGACGGUCCUACUGACACAGCUGCACAGAGCACCCACUGAAUGCAUGAGCUUCUCCUCAUUGAAGAGCUUGAAAACAAAUCUGAAUUUCUUGGGAGCUUAAAUGAGAAGUGACAAAUCAAGAAGAGUGUUUCUCCCACAGAACACUGACCGUAACUAAGCUGAGGAGGAAACUAAGGUUUCCUCAAGGAAACCCAACAAACUUGCUACAACAUUAUGCUACUACUGCAGAGCAAGUGUUUCAUUUAUAGCGUUUCAUUCUGAUGUUAGUGAGGCUGCAGGUCAUGCUGUUACCUGCAUUUCUGUAAGUCACUGCUUUUGGGUGUCUUUUAGUUUAACCAUCCAAGUAUUAGCGACCUACAUCCUGGCUAAUGGAAGAAAUGCAAUUUCUAUUUCACAUAAAUCACCCGUACGUUUUAGAUGUACUCCAAAUGGAUUUUAAGGAAGAGAAAAAAAUAAGUACGUAGGUUACUUUGCAAGUAAAGUCUCCAAUGUGGAAACCACAACAGUUACAGCAUUAUUUGACAGAGCAAAUUCUCAGCUACCAAGCACCACUUUUCAACACAGUCACCACCAUCGGCUGCUUCACAUGGACGUGCUGAUGGAGGCACUCCACGCUCUGUGCUGUGACAGCUAUGCACAGCAGACCAGAACAUGGCUCGUCUUUCACACUGCUGACACCACUGCUAAAACACACCGCCCACCACCUCACUGCACUCACACCCACUGCCUGGGCUUCAGAAAUGCUCAGCAGGCAACAAGGAAUGUCAGUGGGUGCCGUUCUUCCACAUGGAGAAAUUCACUCCCACACCUUUGCUCCGUAUGCACGUCCAUGUCAGACACCAUUCUGCCAGGCUCCAUCUGUCACAUGGCAACAGAACACAAUGGCACACCGGGGGGAAGGUUCAGCCUCUGCUGUCGUACCACCAGCACCUGCCUGACAUUGUGGGCCAACAAAGUAAAAUAGGAGGCAUCGCUUUUGGAGCAGCCCUUGUUGUUGUGUUACAAGUAACUCAUUCUUACUGAGACCAUAUUUGAAGACUUCAGGCUGCAGAGGUAUCGUUCAGCUUACACAGUUCUAAAUAAUGACUAAAAAGUUUCCAAACGGGGCUGAGAAAAGUAUCAAAAAGAGAAUCUGGGGAGUUUCAGAUGAGGUAAACCUUCACAAGUUGCACUUACAGUUAUCGGCCUUCUCCACUGCUUGACACACUUGCCAGGUACCAAGAUCCCUCUGCAAUCCUUCCUCUCAUACAAGAAAUUCUUUCUCCUAUCAACCUGAAAAGUUUUUUUUUCUCUGCCCUGGAAUCUUUCUGGAUUCUAGCACAAGGAAGCUGCUCAUGGGUAGGGAAAAACAGCCUGGCUACUUCUAUAUUCCUGUAGGCUCUUACGGCCAUUCAACUGACCUCACCUGUGACGUGACAAUCACCUUCUGAGAAGUGAUGACAAAGCUCUCUGCAGGUACAUUUAUAUAAAUACAAAUCAGUGCCUUCUUACCUGAAGGACAGAUGAGAACGGAGGUAUAAAACAGGUUAGAAGACAUGACAGAGGAAUAAAAUAACUUAUUAUAAGGCAACUUAAACAACAUCUGUGUACACUGCAUGUUGUAAGCAUGGAAAUAUUGAAUCUCCAAGAGAAUUCAAAACUUUUAUUCACCAUUUUGUUAUUCAUCAGUGGUUGGCUGGGAUUCUUCUCAGAAGCAACGUUCCACAGACACUAGGAAGUGUUCUGCCUUUCCUGAAGUGAGCAGCGUGCCCAGCCUUGCACAAGGGAAUGUUGAUCAGCCUGGAUGCCAUUGGAGGUUUUAAAAACUGAAGCCCUGAGCAGCCCUGGACAAAGCCCCGAACAACUGCGCUCUGCAUGAAGGCGACAAGGUGCUAAGCAGGGCACUGGAAUAGAUGGGACUCCUGAGGCUCCUUCCAGGUUACUCUUCUACUGCCGCUCAAAGAGAGAUAAUCCACAACUGCUUGAACAGUGCAAGAGAAGGGUUGCCCUCACAAGAGCCCUGGCUGCCCUUGCCCUGCAGGGAGAUCUAAACUGGAAACAUCUGUGCAGCUGCCCAGGUGUCCAGGCCAUGCAGGGAGCAGCUGCUGGGCCAGAGAGCAGCCUGGAGGCAGCGGAAGGCAGAGAUGGCAGCAUCCACAGGGCCACUGCCACUCAAACACCCGACGAAAGUCACCACCCUAAGCUGGAGCUGCUCCAGCCCUGCCAGGCCGUGCUGCAGCAGCAGGGAGGGAGAAGUGCCAGACUCUGCCCUCCCUCCCGCUGCCACUGAGCAACAAGCAGGCUGCGGGUGCCACCUCUGCUUCUCUGCUUUCCACGGCAUCUGGAUUUACCCAGCACAUCAGGAGCCUCCCCAGCUCCCACAAGCAGCAGAGCAGCAGGAUCCUUGGGCCCUCCUAACCCCAUCCUUUAAUAAGGCCAUUCCAGCAGCAGCCAUAUUGAUGCUGCCUGCGGGGCUGCCCCAUACGGCACCUGCAGCUGUAAUGGGGCACAUGCAGGUGCUGGGCCAGCACCACAGUGUGGGACCCACAGGGGACAGCUGGGAGCGCAGCACCUGUUAUAGGUUUAAGCUGAGAGGUCUCAGGGAGAUAGUUCUGGAAAGACAUUUGAGUAUAAACCCGAGA